rnacentral:lncRNA from 1 species
AAAGGGGACCUGGUUUAGCAUGCAUUUAAAACCUUUACUUGGGUUAUGUAGUUUUGCUGUCCUAAACCACCCAUGGGCUAUAUGGGUUUAGCUCCCCUUGCUAGAAAGGCCCAGUAUGUGUAGACACACAACCAGGGAAGUAAAAUUGAGAUUACUAGUACAUCUUCCAAAAUAUAGUAUAACAUUAUGCACACAGUCACAAAGACCAAUCACACAUCGGCAAAUAUGAGUUUCUAGUUUUGGUCCCCCCGGAACCUUUCUUUUCCAUAGCUUUGCUAUGCACGCCGACAUUAUAUCCCAACCAAAACCAUUUCCAAACAACCAUCCAAAUCAUUUACUAUUUAUUAACCAAAACCAUGUAGUGGUGGUAUCAUCAUACCAGCCUUACUUAUAAGUACUAUCCAUAGCCAACCAUAUAUAGGUUAAAGAGGACU